CCUUUGUACACACCGCCCGUCGCUACUACCGAUUGAAUGGCUUAGUGAGACCCUCGGAUUGUAAAUCGUGUCGUUGGCAACAACAUACGGUUCGCGAGAAGUUGGUCAAACUUGGUCAUUUAGAGG
rnacentral:rRNA from 1 species